UCCGAUUGAUCCCGUCGGACCCCACUGCUAUCGAGAUGGGACUAAGGUAUGCUAGUCGAACGACCAGAACUAUGUCUGGAAGUGGCACACUGCUCAGUAACACGUAGCUAACCUACCCUUAGGACGUGGAUACCCCCGAGAAAUUGGGGUUAAUCCGCGAUAGAUGUAAUGUCCUGGAAUGGUAUUACGUCUAAAGGUAUUUCAUACACGUUUGAAAUAUGCCUAAGGAUGGGGCUGCGGCCGAUCAGGCUGUUGGUGAGGUAAUGGCUCACCAAACCUUUGACCGGUACGGGCCAUGAGAGUGGUAGCCCGGAGAUGGACACUGAGACAAGGGUCCAGGCCCUAAGGGGCGCAGCAACCGCGAAACCUCCACAAUGCACUCACGUGCGAUGGGGCUAUCUCGAGUGCCACCUGAUGAAGGUGGCUUUUCCUUGGUCUUCAAAACCUUGGGAAUAAGAGGGGGGCAAGACUGGUGUCAGCCGCCGCGGUAACACCAGCCCCUCGAGUGGUGGGGAUGAUUAUUUGGCCUAAAGCGUCCGUAGCCGGCCGAGCAAGUCUCCCGUUAAAUCCAGCGUCUCAAGCGUUGGACUGCGGGAGAUACUACACGGCUAGAGAGUGGGAGAGGUCAGCGGUAUUCUGGGGGUAUGGGCGAAAUCCUUUGAUCCCCGGAGGACCACCAGUGGCGAAGGCGCCAGACUGGAACACGCCUGACGGUGAGGGACGAAAGCCAGGGGAGCGAACGGGAUUAGAUACCCCGGUAGUCCUGGCCGUAAACGAUGCGUGCUAGGUGUUGGUAGGGCUUUGAGCCGUAUCAGUGCCGUAGGGAAACUGUUAAGCGCGCCGCCUGGGAAGUACGCUCGCAAGAGUGAAACUUAAAGGAAUUGGCGGGGGAGCACCACAAGGGGUGAAGCCUGCGGUUCAAUUGGACUCAACGCCGGGAAACUUACCAGGGGAGACAGCAGUAUGACGGUCAGGUUGACGACCUUACCCGACGAGCUGAGAGGAGGUGCAUGGCCGUCGCCAGUUCGUGCCGUGAGGUAUCCUGUUAAGUCAGGCAACGAACGAGAUCCGCACCUUUAUUUGCCACCAAGAAGUCACGACUUCGUUGGGAACACUAAAGGGACCGCCGUCGAUAAGACGGAGGAAGGAGCGGGCAAAGGCAGGUCAGUAUGCCCCGAAACCCCUGGGCUACACGCGGGCUGCAAUGGUAUGAACAAUGGGCUGUGACUCCGAAAGGAGAAACCAAUCCAGAAAUCAUAUCUCAGUUGGAAUUGUCGGCUGUAACCCGCCGACAUGAACGUGGAAUCCC
rnacentral:rRNA from 1 species